UGAUGAAUUUCCAACAGGGUCAAAUAUUUGUUCUAAAACGGACUUGGAGAGCGUUUUUGGGAGGUCAAAGGUCAGCGAAGGUCAGAACAACGCUCAAGACCAGGUGGGGAUGUGCUGUUGAAGAGCUGAACCUGAACUUCAGGAUUUACUUCGCAGCAAAGAUAAAGAGAGACUGUCUGACUCUGGUCCAAAGCUUCCUGCCAUAAAAGAUCCACGCUGACACUCCUGAGCUUAAAUAGUACACCAACACU